GAUGAAGAACGCAGCGAAAUGCGAUAAGUAAUGUGAAUUGCAGAAUUCAGUGAAUCAUCGAAUCUUUGAACGCACAUUGCGCCCACCAGUAUUCUGGCGGGCAUGCCUGUUCGAGCGUCAUUUCAACCAUCAAGCCCCCGGCUUGUGUUGGGGACCUGCGGCUGCCGCAGGCCCUGAAAAGCAGUGGCGGGCUCGCUGUCACACCGAGCGUAGUAGCAUACAUCUCGCUCUGGGCGUGCUGCGGGUUCCGGCCGUUAAACCACCUUCAUAACCCAAGGUUGACCUCGGAUCAGGUAGGAAGACCCGCUGAACUUAAGCAUAUCAAUAAGGGGAGGA
rnacentral:misc_RNA from 1 species